rnacentral:rRNA from 1 species
CCUACGGGAGGCAGCAGUGGGGAAUAUUGGACAAUGGGGGCAACCCUGAUCCAGCCAUGCCGCGUGUGUGAAGAAGGCCCUCGGGUUGUAAAGCACUUUCAGUGAGCAAGAACGCCUGGUGGUUAAUACCCAUCAGGAAAGACAUCACUCACAGAAGAAGCACCGGCUAACUCCGUGCCAGCAGCCGCGGUAAUACGGAGGGUGCGAGCGUUAAUCGGAAUUACUGGGCGUAAAGCGCGCGUAGGUGGCUUGAUAAGCCGGUUGUGAAAGCCCCGGGCUCAACCUGGGAACGGCAUCCGGAACUGUCAAGCUAGAGUGCAGGAGAGGAAGGUAGAAUUCCCGGUGUAGCGGUGAAAUGCGUAGAGAUCGGGAGGAAUACCAGUGGCGAAGGCGGUCUUCUGGACUGACACUGACACUGAGGUGCGAAAGCGUGGGUAGCAAACAGGAUUAGAUACCCUGGUAGUC